rnacentral:rRNA from 1 species
GACGAAAGUCUGACGGAGCAACGCCGCGUGUACGAUGAAGGCCUUCGGGUUGUAAAGUACUGUCUUCAGGGACGAAUGGUAUCUAUGAAAAUAUUGUAGGUAAAUGACGGUACCUGAGGAGGAAGCCCCAGCUAACUACGUGCCAGCAGCCGCGGUAAUACGUAGGGGGCAAGCGUUGUCCGGAAUCAUUGGGCGUAAAAGGCGCGUAGGCGGAUAAUUAAGUCUGGUGUGAAAACUUGGGGCUCAACCCCAAGCCUGCAUCGGAAACUGGUUAUCUUGAGGACAGGAGAGGAAAGUGGAAUUCCACGUGUAGCGGUGAAAUGCGUAGAUAUGUGGAGGAACACCAGUGGCGAAGGCGACUUUCUGGACUGUAACUGACGCUGAGGCGCGAAAGCGUGGGGAGCAAACAGGAUUAGAUACCCUGGUAGUCCACGCCGUAAACGAUGAGUGCUAGGUGUAGAGGGUAUCGACCCCUUCUGUGCCGCAGUUAACACAAUAAGCACUCCGCCUGGGGAGUA